GUUCCAAGCAAAAACGGUGACGUGAAUACUACCAACUGUUCUCAGGAAGUACCAAUUUGGAAAAGCAUCUCUUCACAAAGCUUUUGUUUUGCUGGCUUCUUGGAAACAGCCACCUCCCAGGAUGGUGGUGAAUACUUUCUACCCACACAUAUCAGUAUGUGAGGUCCAUCAUGACACUAUCCCAGAGAUUUGAAUCACCUAUUCUGAAUAAUGCAUGAAGCUUUCAAAGACAUAAAUUCUCACCUCUCCAGUUAUACUUAAGUUUGUGAGAUCUGAAACUGAGUUUUUAUAUGAUAUGCCGGAUCCUUUGCUGAGCUCUGCACUUAGGUCAUCCCUCUAUAACCUGAUUUACAGGAUCCCACCACAUUCGUCAAGUAACAACACUGUUCUCAGAUUUUUGCUGCUGUUCUCUAAAGGAAACGCAAUGAUUCCUUCUCAC